CCCUAGCCGUAAACACAAAUAACCCCUCACCCCCCUAUUCGCCAGGGAACAACGAGCCCCAGCUUAAAACCCAAAGGACUUGGCGGUGCUUUAGACCCCCCUAGAGGAGCCUGUUCUAGAAUCGAUACUCCCCGUUCAACCUCACCCUCUCUUGUUUUUUCCGCCUAUAUACCGCCGUCGUCAGCUUACCCUGUGAAGGGUGAAUAGUAAGCAAAAUUGGCACAACCCAAAACGUCAGGUCAAGGUGUUGCGCACGGGAGGGGAAGAAAUGGGCUACAUUUACUGAAGCAGUAAAAACGGAUUUUGCUCUGAAAAGAGCAGCUGAAGGAGGGUUUAGCAGUAAGAAGUGAAUAGAGCGCACUUCUGAAAACGGCCCUGAAGCGCGCACACACCGCCCGUCACUCUCCCCAAAAACUACUACCUAAUAAAUAAUCCUUUUUGACAAUAUAAAGGGGAGGCAAGUCGUAACAUGGUAAGUGUACCGGAAGGUGCACUUGGAAAAACC
rnacentral:rRNA from 1 species